AUGUUCAUUUUGAUGGAAGUCUUCUUCUUCAACAUUCCACUGCUCAUGGCAAAUUUCAUUGAUCCCAAGUGCUUUUGGAGAGUAAAUUUGAAUGAAGUUAAGGAUAAAGACUUGAGCAUAACUUGUUCCUUCAUCCUUGAAGCAGUUCAGAUGCCUACGGAAAACGAUUAUUUCAACCAGACUCUGAAUAUCCUAAAAACAACAAAAAACCACAAAUAUGCUUUGGCAUUGGCCUUUUCAAUUGAUGAAAUCAACAGGAAUCCUGAUCUUUUACCAAAUAUGUCUUUGAUCAUAAAAUACCCUUUGGGCCUUUGCGAUGGACAAACUACAUUACCUACACCCUAUUUAUUUAAUGAAAUAUAUUUUAGGCCUAUCCCUAAUUAUUUCUGUAAUGAAGAGACUAUGUGUACAUUUCUACUUACAGGACCGCAUUGGAUAACAUCUUAUAGUUUCUGGAUACACUUGAACAUCUUCUUAUCUCCUAGUUUCCUUCAGCUUACCUAUGGACCUUUCCAUUCCAUCUUCAGUGAUAGUGAACAAUUUCCAUAUCUCUAUCAGAUGGCCCCAAAGGACACAUCAGUAGCAUUGGCAAUGGUCUCCUUCCUACUUUACUUCAAGUGGAACUGGGUUGGCCUUUUCAUCACCGAUGAUGAUCAAGGCAACCAAUUUCUCUCUGAGUUGAAAAAAGAGAGCAAAAUCAAGGAAAUUUGCUUUGCCUUUGUGAGCAUGAUGUCAAUCCAUGAGGUUUCAUUCAGUCAAAAAACUGAAAUGUACUACAAACAAAUUGUGAUGUCAUCUGCAAAUGUUAUUAUCAUUUAUGGGGAAAUAGACAGUAUUAUUGAAUUGAGCUUCAGAAUGUGGGAAUCCCCAGUUAUCCAGAAGAUAUGGGUCACCACAAAAGAAAAGAAUUUUCCUACCAUUAAGAGAAAUUUAACUCAUGACACAUUCUAUGGGACUCUUAAUUUUUUACACCACCAUGGGGAAAUUUCAGGCUUUAAAAAUUUUGUACAGACAUGGUACCAUGUCAGAAGCACAGAUUUAUAUCUAGUAAUGCCAGAGUGGAAAUACUUUAACUAUGAAGCCUCAGCAUCUAACUGUAAAAUACUGGAGAACUAUUCAUCCAAUGCCUCACUGGAAUGGCUAUUGGAACAGAAGUUUGACAUGGCUUUUAGUGAUGGAAGUCAGAACAUAUAUAAUGCUGUCUAUGCCAUGGCUCAUGCACUCCAUGAGAUGAAUCUGCAACAGGUUGAUAAUCAAGCAAUAGACAAUGGGAAAGGAGCCAGUUCUCACUGCUUGAAGCUAAACUCCUUUCUGAGAAAGACCCACUUCACUAAUCCUCUUGGGGACAGAGUGAUUAUGAAAGAGAGAGAAAUCCUGCAAGAAGACUAUAACAUUUUUCACAUUUGGAAUUUCUCACAACACAUUGGUUUUAAGGUGAAGAUAGGAAAGUUCAGCCCAUAUUUUCCACAUGAUGGACACUUUCACCUAUAUGUAGACAUGAUUGAGUUGGCCACAGGAAGUAGAAAGAUGCCAUCCUCCGUGUGCACUGCAGCCUGCUGUUUUGUUUGCAGUCCCUGCCCUGAAAAUGCAAUUUCUAAUGAGACAAAUAUGGAUCAAUGUGUUAAUUGUCCAGAAUACCAAUAUGCCAACACAAAACGGAACAAAUGCAUUCAGAAAAAUGUGAUGUUUCUAAGCUAUGAAGACCCCUUGGGGUUGGUGCUUGCCAUAACAGUCUUUGUUUUCUCUGCAUUAACAGCUGUGGUUCUUUGGGUCUUUGUGAAGCACCAUGACACUCCUAUUGUGAAGGCAAAUAACAGAAUCCUCAGCUACAUAUUAAUCAUAUCACUCAUGUUCUGUUUUCUGUGCUCCUUUCUUUUUAUUGGCCAUCCUAACAUAACAACCUGUAUCUUACAGCAAAUCACAUUUGGAAUUGUAUUCACUGUGGCUGUUUCCACAAUUCUGGCCAAAACAAUCACUGUGGUUCUGGCUUUCAAAGUCACAAACCCAGGAAGAAGGCUGAGAAACUUCCUGGUAUUAGGAAUACCCAACUACAUAAUCCCCAUAUGUUCACUAUUGCAAUGUAUUCUGUGUGCAAUCUGGCUAGCAGUUUCUCCUCCUUUUGUUGAUAUUGAUGAACACACUGAGCGUGGCCACAUCAUCAUUAUGUGCAACAAAGGCUCAGUUACUGCAUUCUACUGUGUCCUGGGAUACUUGGCCUGCUUGGCACUUGCAAGCUUCACUGUGGCUUUCUUGGCAAAGAAUCUGCCAGACACAUUCAAUGAAGCCAAGUUCUUGACCUUCAGCAUGCUGGUGUUCUGCAGUGUCUGGGUCACCUUCCUCCCUGUCUACCACAGCACCAAGGGCAAGAUCAUGGUUGCUGUGGAGAUAUUCUCCAUUUUGGCAUCCAGUGCAGGGAUGCUUGGAUGCAUCUUUGCACCCAAGAUUUACAUCAUUUUAAUGAGACCAGAGAGAAAUUCUAUCCAAAAGAUAAGAGAGAAAUCAUAUUUCUGA
rnacentral:lncRNA from 1 species